AUAUUGGACAAUGGGGGCAACCCUGACCCAGCCAUGCCGCGUGUGUGAAGAAGGCCUUUUGGUUGUAAAGCACUACAAGUAGUGAAGAAGACUCUAUGGUUAAUACUCAUAGACGAUGACGUUAGCUGCAGAAUAAGCACCGGCUAACUCUGUGCCAGCAGCCGCGGUAAUACAGAGGGUGCAAGCGUUAAUCGGAAUUACUGGGCGUAAAGCGAGCGUAGGUGGCUUAAUAAGUCAGAUGUGAAAUCCCCGGGCUUAACCUGGGAACUGCAUCUGGUACUGUUGGGCUAGAGUAGGUGAGAGGGAGGUAGAAUUUCAGGUGUAGCGGUGAAAUGCGUAGAGAUCUGAAGGAAUACCGAUGGCGAAGGCAGCCUCCUGGCAUCAUACUGACACUGAGGUUCGAAAGCGUGGGUAGCAAACAG
rnacentral:rRNA from 1 species